CUCAGGGCGAGUGGCUCUGUCCGCCUGAACUGGAAGCUUGCGCAAUCGCAGUAAGAUAGGCGAACUGCGAGCAUGCGCAGUGCUGGGGCGCAGAGCACAACGCAUGCGUAACGAAAGCUGUGUGCGGUUGCUGGCGCCUCCUCCCCUUUAAGCGGGUUGUUUAGUGUCCUCCGCCAGGAGGUAGGGACGGCUCGGCUCGGCUCGGCUCGCUGGUUCCUAGCCGCUGUGUGCACGGGCGGCGCGGCGAGGAUGUCUGGCUGGGACCGGGAGAUGGGCUUCGGGCCCGGGGGCUCGGGGCGGGGCGGCGCGGGGGACGGGCGGAUCUACGUGGGGAACCUGCCGGCGGACGUGCGGGAGAAGGACCUGGAGGAGCUUUUCUACAAGUACGGCCGCAUCCGCGACAUCGAGCUCAAGAGCAAGCGCGGCCUGGUGCCCUUCGCCUUCGUGCGCUUCGAGGACCCGCGAGAUGCAGAAGAUGCAGUUUAUGGGAGAAAUGGUUAUGAUUAUGGUCAAUGCCGACUGCGUGUUGAGUUCCCCAGAUCCUCCCGAGGUCGGGGUGGAGGUUUUGGUGGGGGGCUGCGUGGGAGGAAUGGCCCUCCGUCACGACGUUCUGAAUUUCGAGUCCUUGUUUCAGUGAAACCAGAUUAGAAACUCCUAAAAAGAACACUGCCGAAUGGAUACAACAAUGUAGCACAAGUGCCCAGCUGUUUGUAUGAACCAGCAUCCCCACUAUCUUUCCCCUCCUCAUUUGGUGUCUAGCAGAGACCUCUACAUACCCCUGGUUGAGAACCACUGGCCUAGAGGAGCCAAAGAAUGCACUACCACAGCCAUUGAUCUUCUCUCCAUAGAUCUAGCAAUGUGGGGCAGAUCCUUAACUUGGGUAAACUGUCAUUGUUCUGUUGCCCUCAGUGGAGCCUGACAAUUUAUAGCAGCUGAGAUCUGCCUCUGUAAGUUUGAGUGACCUAUGAACUUUAAUGCUAUCACAAGAACACUUGAUUUAAACAAAUGCUGCCCCAGAACACCAUAGGGUUAGUUUAAUUAUUUCAGUUUAAUUUGAAAAUUAAUGACAACUUAUUUUGUGUAGCUCUGUCUUCCAAGUUCUAGUCUGAACUAACAUGGCAACACUGUUGGGUAUAGGGUUUAGAAAACUGUCCUGAGUUUUGAUUUGGAGGGAUGUAAUUAAUUUUACCAUUAUUUCCUCUCAAAUUUGCAGUUACUAGCUAACAGAGGAAAGUUAUAUUGACCAGGUCUGUUUAAAUGUUUUGCUGAAUUCACCAUACCUCAGGGAGUGGUCUCUGUUCCACAUGCUGCCAUGUUGGAUUCUGGUAGACCUAAAGUGGAAGAGGUAGGCAGUGAUAAAUAUGCAACAGCAGUUUGAAUAUUUAGGAUGAAUAAUCUCAGAUCAUAGACACAUUGUCUAAAAUACUUGUAAAUUGAUUCUAUUUUGUAGGGGAAAUUAGCCCUAGAGAGGAGAAUGAAACCAAACCCACAUAUACUGAGAAAUAAAGUUGAAAGAUUGGCUGUAGUGAUGAAUCAGUUGAUGCAAAACAAAAUAUACUUUGCACUUUUGCACCUCAGGGCAUGUCAGAAUGCUUAAAGGGCAGGGAAACCUACUGAAAUUGUGUUUUGCUAAAGGGACAAAUAAGAUUGUGGUACAGAAUCUAGGAGUCUAACUCCUAGUCUUAUACUUUAAACAUUAAACAAUAUUUGCUGCCUGAAACUUGCUAGCUGAUUUAUUACUCAUGUUCCUCU